AUUGAACGCUGGCGGCAGGCCUAACACAUGCAAGUCGAACGAGUGGCGGACGGGUGAGUAAUGUCUGGGAAACUGACCGAUGGAGCGGGAUAACCACUGGGAACGGGAGCUAAUACCGCAUACCAUCGGCCGUGCCCCGAUGGGAUUAGCUAGGAGGUGGGGUAAGGGCUCACCUCGGCGACGAUCACUAGCUGGUCUGAGAGGAUGACCAACCACACUGGAACUGAGAAACGGUCCAGACGCAUACGUGAGGCAGCAGUGGGGAAGAUUGCACAAUGGGCGCAAGCCGGAUGCAGCCAUGCCGCGUGUAUGAAGAAGGCCUUCGGGUUGUAAAGUACUUUCAGCGGGGAGGCGUUACCCGCAGAAGAAGCACCGGCUAACUCCGUGCCAGCAGCCGCGGUAAUUC
rnacentral:rRNA from 1 species